UCGAUGUGAACGUUAAUCACCUAUCUGACCCAUCUUGAAACACGGGCCAAGGAGUUCAGCGUAAUGUAUGUAUAUUUAUAUAUAUGGCGUAACAUAACCACGUUCAUGUUGCAUGCAACAGGGCGGAGGUAGAACGUACAUGCUGGGACCCGAAAGAUGGUGAAUUAUACUUGAGCAGGAUGAAGCCAGAGGAAACUCUGGUGAAGGUCCAAAGCAAUGCUGGCGUGUAAAUCGAUCGUCUGACUUUGGUAUAGGGGCGAAAGACUAAUCGAACUAUUAUUUAGUAGCAGG
rnacentral:ncRNA from 1 species